UAGGGAAUCUUCGGCAAUGGACGAAAGUCUGACCGAGCAACGCCGCGUGAGUGAAGAAGGUUUUCGGAUCGUAAAACUCUGUUGUUAGAGAAGAACAAGGACGUUAGUAACUGAACGUCCCCUGACGGUAUCUAACCAGAAAGCCACGGCUAACUACGUGCCAGCAGCCGCGGUAAUACGUAGGUGGCAAGCGUUGUCCGGAUUUAUUGGGCGUAAAGCGAGCGCAGGCGGUUUCUUAAGUCUGAUGUGAAAGCCCCCGGCUCAACCGGGGAGGGUGAUUGGAAACUGGGAGACGUGAGUGCAGAAGAGGAGAGUGGAAUUCCAUGUGUAGCGGUGAAAUGCGUAGAUAUAUGGAGGAACACCAGUGGCGAAGGCGGCUCUAUGGUCUGUAACUGACGCUGAGGCUCGAAAGCGUGGGGAGCAAACAGG
rnacentral:rRNA from 1 species